CAAAAACAUGGCUCCUUGAAUAUUGAUAAUAAGGAGUCGGACCUGCCCAGUGAAUUUUUUCAACGGCCGCGGUACUCUGACCGUGCAAAGGUAGCAUAAUCAUUUGCCUUAUAAUUGAAGGCUAGUAUGAAUGGUUUGACAAGAAUAUAGCUGUCUCUUUAUGAUUAAAUAGAAUUUUAUUUUUAGGUGAAGAAGCCUAUAUUUAAUUAAAAGACAAGAAGACCCUAUCGAGCUUUAAAUAAAUUAAUAGAACUUAAAUUAAUAUAGAUUAAAAAAUUAUCUAUUAAAGAUUUUAGUUGGGGCGACUGAGGAACAUAUAAAGCUUCCUUUAUUAAAUUAAAAUCAUACUAGACUUGAUCCAAAUUUAUUUUGAUUAAAGGAAUUAGUUACCGUAGGGAUAACAGCAUUAUCUUUUUUAAGAGCUCAUAUCGAAAAAAAGGUUUGUGACCUCGAUGUUGGACCAGAAUAUCCUAAAGGUGCAGCAGCCUUUAAGGGUUGGUCUGUUCGACCAUUAAAAUUCUACCUGA
rnacentral:rRNA from 1 species